GCAUAUCAGCCAAGUGGAGGGGUGUGGAGCCAUACCUGUCCUUGGCGUUAAGGUCACUGGAGGGUAUGAGGGCAGACACACACUCAGCACUGCCCCGCAUAGCAGCCAAGUGGAGGGGUGUGUGGCCAUCCUCGUCCUUGGCGUUAAGGUCACUGGAGGGUAUGAGGGCAGACACACACUCAGCACUGCCCCGCAUAGCAGCCAAGUGGAGGGGUGUGUGGCCAUACCUGUCCUUGGCGUUAAGGUCACUGGAGGGUAUGAGGGCAGACACACACUCAGCACUGCCCCGCAUAGCAGCCAAGUGGAGGGGUGUGUGGCCAUACCUGUCCUUGGCGUUAAGGUCACUGGAGGGUAUGAGGGCAGACACACACUCAGCACUGCCCCGCAUAGCAGCCAAGUGGAGGGGUGUGAGGCCAUCCUCGUCCUUGGCGUUAAGGUCACUGGAGGGUAUGAGGGCAGACACACACUCAGCACUGCGCCGCAUAGCAGCCAAGAGGAGGGCCGUCCUUCCUAAGUGGGGGAGGGGAAGAGACACACUCUUAAGGGUCUAGUAAUAACCAUACGUUAUCAAAGUGUCCUACUGACCACCGACCGCACACUGCACCACUA